GAAUUAUUUACGGGUUACCAUAUGUCUAGGGCUUUUUUUUUUUUUUAUCAAAAAAUGAUUUUGAAAAAGUAUGUAUUGAUGUGCUGCUGUUUGUACGUAUCAUUCCUUUCAUAUUAAUCUAAAGUAAAUUAGAUGUAUUAUAUCCUAGUUACUGUUUUUAACAGAUUGUAGCAUGUUUUAGCUUGUCCUUAGUAUUAAUAGUAGUUGUACACGUACGAUGUAUUUGUUAUAGAGAUAUAAUACAGGGUUUGGUUUGAAUAAAAUCCAUGUACAUUUCAAAUGUAUAAAAAUUU
rnacentral:sRNA from 1 species